UCAGAUUGCCUGUGUCUCUAAACCAAUCAAGAAAUAACUUAGCAAGAAGUCCAAUUAGUGUCCAAUGGCAGCUUGUCCUUUUCUCUUAUUGUGCCAUUGCCAUUGUUAAAAUAUCUUUAAAAUAUCUAACUCAAAGGGUAUAAAAUUAUAUGACAAAAUAAAUAUUCAACAUGAACUCUCCUCUUUCCGGCAUGUGUAAACUAAAAUAUGAGAAUUCAUUAUGAUCAUUCUUGACAUGAACAUUCAUCUAACUGAAGAAAGCUGACCCUUAGAUGGCUGCUUCUCUCUACCUAAUGGAGUAAACCCUUCUGUUCCCCUGCCCUAGUUUCUGGGUUGCAGACCACAGCAAAGCCUGCAGGGGGACAAGAAAGUACAAAUAUUCCAGUAUUACCUUAGGUGGAAACAGAAUCUUAGAGGCUUUCAUUUGGAUAGCGCCAGUUGAAAUCCAGCCCUAUGCAGCAGUCACUAACUGUCAUCUGAUAGCACUUUGCUGAGCUAUGUGAAAUGAGUGUAUGCAAACUUUGUGUGCCAGCAGCAAGGGGAUUUCAAGUUACAGAGAAUCCACCAUUUACUCAGUUCAAACCAGCAAGUGACCCACGCCCUACAAUGCAGAGGAAGGCUGUAGAACUCCUUGAAUACCUAGUUGUCUGAGCUUCACUCUUAUAUAAAUAUAUGGACAUAGGAACCUAAAACACUUGCAGUGCUUAUGACAGCCACUCAAGGAUGGAUCCUGUUAAUUAAAGGAAACAAAAACCAAACAU